GAUGAACGCUGACAGAAUGCUUAACACAUGCAAGUCAACUUGAACUUCGGUUUGGGUGGCGGACGGGUGAGUAACGCGUAAAGAACUUGCCUCACAGCUAGGGACAACAUUUGGAAACGAAUGCUAAUACCUGAUAUUAUGAUUAUAUGGCAUCGUAUAAUUAUGAAGGCUAUAUGCGCUGUGAGAGAGCUUUGCGUCCCAUUAGCUAGUUGGAGAGGUAACAGCUCACCAAGGCGAUGAUGGGUAGCCGGCCUGAGAGGGUGAUCGGCCACAAGGGGACGGAGACACGGCCCUUACUCCUACCGGAGGCAGCGGUGGGGAAUAUUGGACAAUGGACCGAGAGUCUGAUCCAGCAAUUCUGUGUGCAAGAUGAAGUUUUUCGGAAUGUAAAGUGCUUUCAGUUGGGAAGAAAAAAAUGACGGUACCAACAGAAGAAGUGACGGCUAAAUACGUG
rnacentral:rRNA from 1 species